UACGAAGGUCCCAAGCGUUGUCCGGAUUUAUUGGGUUUAAAGGGUGCGUAGGCGGGCUGUUAAGUCAGUGGUGAAAGCCCCAAGCUUAACUUGGGAACUGCCAUUGAUACUGAUGGUCUUGAGUACAGUUGAGGUGGGCGGAAUGUGUCAUGUAGCGGUGAAAUGCUUAGAUAUGACGCAGAACACCGAUUGCGAAGGCAGCUAACUAAACUGUAACUGACGCUGAGGCACGAAAGCGUGGGGAGCAAACAGG
rnacentral:rRNA from 1 species